AUCGAGAGGGACACGGGGAAACACCACCAUGCUUAUAAUAAUUCUGCCGGAGCGACCGCACUGUGGUUUACCAGAUGGCGUGUGUCCCAAUCUUUCACAACAUUAGCGAGAAGGCUUUUUUG
rnacentral:misc_RNA from 1 species